rfam:Ictidomys tridecemlineatus contig055337, whole genome shotgun sequence.
GGGGCUGGGGCUCAGCGGUAGUGCACUUGCCUGGCAUGUGUGAGGCACUGGGUUCGACUCUCAGCACCUCCU